rnacentral:lncRNA from 1 species
ACCACAUUACAUAUGAGUUAAUGUACUAUUAUACUCAUAACCACAAACCAUUCUUAUAGAAUUUUUAUCACAUUCAUGUUUAAUUCAUAAAUACCACACAAAUUGUAAUUUCUACACGAACAUAAUUACAUCAGUGGUUAUAUAUAAAUAGUAUGAACCAAUUCAGCGACUAAUUACUGUCUAUAAUAAGUACUACGAAUAUUUAGCAUAAAAAAUAAAACAAUUUUGUUAUUUGAACAAACAACUUUCGAUCUAAAUUCAAAUAAGUAUGAACAUCAAUUCCAAAAGAAAAAAAACUAUUAUCUCAAGAGAAAAAAAAAUUAAAGUUGAUAAAAAAAAAAAAAGAUAAUAAUAAUUUGACUAAGAUAACCUCGUUUAUUUAUUUUGUAGGAUUGCGAGUGCUUACAAAACAAUACUAUUUCGGUCUUAAACAUAAAAAGAAAUAAAAUUAAAAAAGAUUAAUGUAUCUAAUUACAUUAAUAUUUUUUAAUCUAUUGUUUUUUUUAAUAUUUGAGAUGAGAGAAUCACAAAGUAAAUCAUAAAUUAUUCUUGCACUAGUGUUCAUACCUCAGUUGUUGUCUGUGGUCUUAGAAUUUUCCUCCAAACAAGCGAACACGUCAAGAAACGAAGUAGUACUGUUACACUUAGGACAAUUCGGAUCUUCCUCUGAUGUCAUAACAUAUAAGAAGCAUCGAGGACAACCUACGAGAGCCAUGGCUUUUAUUACUGUCCUAUUUAUUUGCUUAGGAGAUUCUUCUUUACCUUUUGGGAAGAGUGAAAUCUCACAAGUUAAAUCUGAUGAAUAAGAUAUUGAAGAGUUUGUGGGUGAUGAAUUUCUGUAGCUCAUGUUUUUCUUUCUAGAUCUAUCAACCUGUUAGUUUUAUUUGUUUGAACACUAGACGACCAAAUCUCAUAGUUGAAUGCUUGAUAUAUAUAACAUUGGAAAAGAGACAUAAUCAUAUUAUAAUUUAUUUAUUUAUUUAUUUAAGUUUAGUAAUAUAGAGAUGACUUUUACCCAUAAACACAA